rnacentral:rRNA from 1 species
ACCCGCUGAAUUUAAGCAUAUAAGUAGGUGGCACACAAGAAACAUACGGGGAUUCCCCCAGUAGUGGCGAAUGUACAGGGACAGACACGGAGUAGAAAUUAGGGCACGCGGCCCUGAUUUGUAGUCUUGUGAUGCGCUGCCAGCGGGGUCGCAGCUAUAAGCUUUUGGAAAAGGCAUCAAUGAGGGUGAAAACCCUGUGUGCUGGCUGCAGUUCUGCUGCACACGGUGCGCAUUCUGUGAGUCGUGUACCUUGGCACAGGUGCAUGAAGCGGUGGUAAUUUUCAUCUGAAGCUGAAGAAGUGUUUGGGACCAACAGUGCACAAGUACCCUGAGGGAAAGGUGAAACAGGACUUUGGAAAGAGGGAUAAAUAUGCUUGAAAAUGCUGUCUUUGAAGUGAGGGAUGAAAGUGGCAUGUGGCAGGAUUUCUGUGUGUCAAAUGUGCUUGUCGGCCUUAUGCGAAAUUAUAGUGGCAGGUCAUGAGCAGGAUUCAUGCAGUGCAUCCGGCCCCAGCGAUCAAUAUCAGUAUCUUGCUUAAGGACGGCAGCAGGGACCUGGUUGACCAUCCCUGGGUGUAAUAAGAUCAUUGCAUCGCUUGUGCAUGUGCAUCUUGGUGACCACAUGGCUCCAUUCGGCCCGUCUUGAAACACGGAUCAAGGAGUCUAGCAUACAUGCAAGGUCAUGGGUGGCAGACCUGUGUGCGCAUUGAAAAUGCUAGCUGGGAGAUUGCACCAGCACCCGAUCAUUUGCCUGUGGAAUGCCUGAGUGCGAGCAUGUCUGUUAGGACCCGAAAGACGGUGAACUAUGCUCGUGAAGGGCAAACUUAGGGGAAACUCUGAUGGAGGCCCGUAGUGGUACUAACGUGCAAAUUGUUCGUUAUACAUGGGCGUAGGGGUGAAAGACUAAUCGAACCAUCUAGUAGCUGGUUCCCUCCGAAGUUUCCCUCAGGAAAGCUGGAGCUGCUUUUUUACCAGGUAAAGCAAAUGAUUCGAGGCAUUGGGGGCAUCUUGCCCUUGACCUAAUCUCAAACUCUAAAUAGGUUUGCCUCAGUUGUUACUUGUGUGACCAACUGGGGUAAAUGACAUCUCCAAGUGGGCCAUUCUUGGUAAGCAGAACUGGCGAUGAGAGAUGAACCUAAUGUUAGGCUAAGGGGUUCAAGUGCUUGCUCAUCAGAUACCAUAAAGGGUGUUGGUUCAUCUUGACAGCAGGACGGUGGUCAUGGAAGUUGAAAUCCGCUAAGGAGUGUGUAAUAACUCACCUGCCGAAUGGACUAGCCCCGAAAAUGGAUGGCGCUCAAGUUGGCCACUGAUGCCUAACCAAUGCUAUGGUUUGGUUGCAUCAGUGAGUAGGGGGGUAUGUGGUUUUGUGACGAAGUUUGAGGCGCAAGCCUGGGUAAAACAGCCUCAGGUGCAGAUCUUGGUGGUAGUAGC